rnacentral:rRNA from 1 species
AUAGGGUCAAGUGAAUAAGUGCAUCAGGCGGAUGCCUUGGCGAUGAUAGGCGACGAAGGACGUGUAAGCCUGCGAAAAGCGCGGGGGAGCUGGCAAUAAAGCUAUGAUUCCGCGAUGUCCGAAUGGGGAAACCCACUGCAUUCUGUGCAGUAUCCUAAGUUGAAUACAUAGGCUUAGAGAAGCGAACCCGGAGAACUGAACCAUCUAAGUACCCGGAGGAAAAGAAAUCAACCGAGAUUCCGCAAGUAGUGGCGAGCGAACGCGGAGGAGCCUGUACGUAAUAACUGUCGAGAUAGAAGAACAAGCUGGGAAGCUUGACCAUAGCGGGCGACAGUCCCGUAUUCGAAAUCUCAACAGCGGUACUAAGCGUACGAAAAGUAGGGCGGGACACGUGAAAUCCUGUCUGAAUAUGGGGGGACCAUCCUCCAAGGCUAAAUACUCAUCAUCGACCGAUAGUGAACCAGUACCGUGAGGGAAAGGCGAAAAGAACCCCGGGAGGGGAGUGAAACAGAACCUGAAACCUGAUGCAUACAAACAGUGGGAGCGCCCUAGUGGUGUGACUGCGUACCUUUUGUAUAAUGGGUCAACGACUUACAUUCAGUAGCGAGCUUAACCGGAUAGGGGAGGCGUAGGGAAACCGAGUCUUAAUAGGGCGAUGAGUUGCUGGGUGUAGACCCGAAACCGAGUGAUCUAUCCAUGGUCAGGUUGAAGGUGCCGUAACAGGUACUGGAGGACCGAACCCACGCAUGUUGCAAAAUGCGGGGAUGAGCUGUGGGUAGGGGUGAAAGGCUAAACAAACUCGGAGAUAGCUGGUUCUCCCCGAAAACUAUUUAGGUAGUGCCUCGAGCAAGACACUGAUGGGGGUAAAGCACUGUUAUGGCUAGGGGGUUAUUGCAACUUACCAACCCAUGGCAAACUCAGAAUACCAUCAAGUGGUUCCUCGGGAGACAGACAGCGGGUGCUAACGUCCGUUGUCAAGAGGGAAACAACCCAGACCGCCGGCUAAGGUCCCAAAUGAUAGAUUAAGUGGUAAACGAAGUGGGAAGGCACAGACAGCCAGGAUGUUGGCUUAGAAGCAGCCAUCAUUUAAAGAAAGCGUAAUAGCUCACUGGUCGAGUCGUCCUGCGCGGAAGAUGUAACGGGGCUCAAAUCUAUAACCGAAGCUGCGGAUGCCGGUUUACCGGCAUGGUAGGGGAGCGUUCUGUAGGCUGAUGAAGGUGCAUUGUAAAGUGUGCUGGAGGUAUCAGAAGUGCGAAUGUUGACAUGAGUAGCGAUAAAGCGGGUGAAAAGCCCGCUCGCCGAAAAGCCCAAGGUUUCCUACGCAACGUUCAUCGGCGUAGGGUAAGUCGGCCCCUAAGGCGAGGCAGAAAUGCGUAGUCGAUGGGAAACAGGUUAAUAUUCCUGUACUUGAUUCAAAUGCGAUGUGGGGACGGAGAAGGUUAGGUUGGCAAGCUGUUGGAAUAGCUUGUUUAAGCCGGUAGGUGGAAGACUUAGGCAAAUCCGGGUUUUCUUAACACCGAGAAGUGAUGACGAGUGUCUACGGACACGAAGCAACCGAUACCACGCUUCCAGGAAAAGCCACUAAGCUUCAGUUUGAAUCGAACCGUACCGCAAACCGACACAGGUGGGCAGGAUGAGAAUUCUAAGGCGCUUGAGAGAACUCGGGAGAAGGAACUCGGCAAAUUGAUACCGUAACUUCGGGAGAAGGUAUGCCCUCUAAGGUUAAGGACUUGCUCCGUAAGCCCCGGAGGGUCGCAGAGAAUAGGUGGCUGCGACUGUUUAUUAAAAACACAGCACUCUGCCAACACGAAAGUGGACGUAUAGGGUGUGACGCCUGCCCGGUGCCGGAAGGUUAAUUGAAGAUGUGCAAGCAUCGGAUCGAAGCCCCGGUAAACGGCGGCCGUAACUAUAACGGUCCUAAGGUAGCGAAAUUCCUUGUCGGGUAAGUUCCGACCCGCACGAAUGGCGUAACGAUGGCCACACUGUCUCCUCCCGAGACUCAGCGAAGUUGAAGUGGUUGUGAAGAUGCAAUCUACCCGCUGCUAGACGGAAAGACCCCGUGAACCUUUACUGUAGCUUUGCAUUGGACUUUGAAGUCACUUGUGUAGGAUAGGUGGGAGGCUUGGAAGCAGAGACGCCAGUCUCUGUGGAGUCGUCCUUGAAAUACCACCCUGGUGUCUUUGAGGUUCUAACCCAGACCCGUCAUCCGGGUCGGGGACCGUGCAUGGUAGGCAGUUUGACUGGGGCGGUCUCCUCCCAAAGCGUAACGGAGGAGUUCGAAGGUUACCUAGGUCCGGUCGGAAAUCGGACUGAUAGUGCAAUGGCAAAAGGUAGCUUAACUGCGAGACCGACAAGUCGGGCAGGUGCGAAAGCAGGACAUAGUGAUCCGGUGGUUCUGUAUGGAAGGGCCAUCGCUCAACGGAUAAAAGGUACUCCGGGGAUAACAGGCUGAUUCCGCCCAAGAGUUCAUAUCGACGGCGGAGUUUGGCACCUCGAUGUCGGCUCAUCACAUCCUGGGGCUGUAGUCGGUCCCAAGGGUAUGGCUGUUCGCCAUUUAAAGUGGUACGUGAGCUGGGUUUAAAACGUCGUGAGACAGUUUGGUCCCUAUCUGCAGUGGGCGUUGGAAGUUUGACGGGGGCUGCUCCUAGUACGAGAGGACCGGAGUGGACGAACCUCUGGUGUACCGGUUGUAACGCCAGUUGCAUAGCCGGGUAGCUAAGUUCGGAAGAGAUAAGCGCUGAAAGCAUCUAAGCGCGAAACUCGCCUGAAGAUGAGACUUCCCUUGCGGUUUAACCGCACUAAAGGGUCGUUCGAGACCAGGACGUUGAUAGGUGGGGUGUGGAAGCGCGGUAACGCGUGAAGCUAACCCAUACUAAUUGCCCGUGAGGCUUGACUCUAU